rnacentral:rRNA from 1 species
UACCGGCAGCUCGAGUGAUAGCCACUAUUAUUGGGCCUAAAGCGUCCGUAGCCGGCCGAACAGGUCCGUCGGGAAAUCCACCCGCUCAACAGGUGGACGUCCGGCGGAAACCAGUCGGCUUGGGGCCGGGAGACCAGAGAGGUACGUCCGGGGUAGGAGUGAAAUCCCGUAAUCCUGGACGGACCGCCGGUAGCGAAAGCGUCUCUGGAGAACGGACCCGACGGUGAGGGACGAAAGCUUGGGUCUCGAACCGG